CAAAUAUUGCUUCUAUCAGCACUACAGUUCAGGAGUGGAAAGUCUCCUUGGUUGGCCCACCAUCCUUCCAAAACUCCCUCACCACUCCUCUGUGUUUCCCACAGCUACUUCCCUAAAUCACCCAGCUCAGAGAGAACUGUCCACAUGCUUGCCAUUCAUCCUCUUGCUGUGUGGAGGGUUUGUCUGAUUCUAAGAGGCAGAAGCUCCCAAAGGCUUUUCUCCUGCUCCUACCUUGCUGGCCAUGUGUGCUGCUCGGAAAAUGGUGCCUCAACACUGCUGUAGCCAAUGAGUGUCUUCUUCCUCAUGGGUGCCUUCCCAGUCUCUGGAUUAGGUGA